CAGUGUUACAGCUCUUUCAGAAUUUGUUUAGCAGGUUUUCUGGUUUUCACAGGAAAAUAAAA
ensembl:snRNA U7 U7 small nuclear RNA